rnacentral:rRNA from 1 species
GACUAACGCUGGCGGCGUGCUUAACACAUGCAAGUUGAACGGGGCAAGUUUGUAGCAAUAUGAGCUUGCUUAGUAGCGGACGGGUGAGUAACGCGUGAACAAUCUGCCUUUGUGAGGGGGACAACAGCCGGAAACGGCUGCUAAUACCGCAUGAGACCACAGCUCCGAGUGGAGCAGGGGUCAAAGAUUUAUCGCACAAAGAUGAGUUCGCGUCCCAUUAGCUAGUUGGUGAGGUAACGGCCCACCAAGGCGACGAUGGGUAGCCGACCUGAGAGGGUGAUCGGCCACACUGGAACUGAGACACGGUCCAGACUCCUACGGGAGGCAGCAGUGGGGAAUAUUGGGCAAUGGGCGCAAGCCUGACCCAGCAACGCCGCGUGAGGGAAGAAGGUCUUCGGAUUGUAAACCUCUGUCCUUGGGGACGAAAAAAUGACGGUACCCAAGGAGGAAGCUCCGGCUAACUACGUG